rnacentral:rRNA from 1 species
UUGGAUCAUGGUUCAGAACGAACGCUAGCGGCAAGCUUAACACAUGCAAGUCGAACGAAUUGUAGCUAUAGUUUACUAUAGUUACAGUUAGUGGCAGACGGGUGAGUAAUGCAUAGGAAUCUGCCUAGUAGUAUGGAAUAGCUGUUAGAAAUGACAGGUAAUACCGUAUAAUCCCUGCGGGGGAAAGAUUUAUCGCUAUUAGAUGAGCCUAUGUUAGAUUAGCUAGUUGGUAAGGUAAUGGCUUACCAAGGCUAUGAUCUAUAGCUGGUCUGAGAGGACGAUCAGCCACACUGGAACUGAGAUACGGUCCAGACUCCUACGGGAGGCAGCAGUGGGGAAUAUUGGACAAUGGGCGCAAGCCUGAUCCAGCUAUGCCGCAUGAGUGAAGAAGGCCUUAGGGUUGUAAAACUCUUUCAGCAGGGAAGAUAAUGACGGUACCUGC